rnacentral:rRNA from 1 species
AGUGAACGCUGGCGGUAGGCCUAACACAUGCAAGUCGAACGGCAGCACAGUAAGAGCUUGCGCUUACGGGUGGCGAGUGGCGGACGGGUGAGGAAUACAUCGGAAUCUACUUUUUCGUGGGGGAUAACGUAGGGAAACUUACGCUAAUACCGCAUACGACCUACGGGUGAAAGCAUGGGAUCUUCGGACCUUGCGCGAUUGAAUGAGCCGAUGUCGGAUUAGCUGGUUGGCGGGGUAAAGGCCCACCAAGGCGACGAUCCGUAGCUGGUCUGAGCGGAUGAUCGGCCACAUUGGAACGGGACCACGGUCAAGAGUCCUACGGGAGGCAGCAGUGGGGAAUAUGGGACAGUGGGGGGAAGCCUGGUCCAGCCAGCCGGGGUGGGUGAGAAAGGCGUUGGGGUUGUAAAGCCCUUUUGUUGGGAGGAAAAAGCGGCAGGUUAUUACCCCGCUGUUCUGACGGUACCAAAAAAAUAAGCACCGGCUAACUUCGUG